UACGGAGGGGGCAAGCGUUAUUCGGAAUUAUUGGGCGUAAAGGGCGCGCAGGCGGCCUGGAAAGUCUCGGGUGAAAUCCCUCGGCUCAACCGAGGAAUUGCCUUGGAUACUGUCAGGCUCGAGGCCGGGAGGGGGUGGCGGAAUUCCCAGUGUAGCGGUGAAAUGCGUAGAUAUUGGGAGGAACACCAGUGGCGAAGGCGGCCACCUGGACCGGUUCUGACGCUGAGGCGCGAAAGCGUGGGGAGCAAACAGG
rnacentral:misc_RNA from 1 species